AUUGAACGCUGGCGGCAUGCCUUACACAUGCAAGUCGAACGGCAGCACGGGAGCAAUCCUGGUGGCGAGUGGCGAACGGGUGAGUAAUGUAUCGGAACGUGCCCAGUCGUGGGGGAUAACGUAGCGAAAGCUACGCUAAUACCGCAUACGAUCUGUGGAUGAAAGCGGGGGACCGUAAGGCCUCGCGCGAUUGGAGCGGCCGAUAUCAGAUUAGGUAGUUGGUGGGGUAAAGGCCUACCAAGCCGACGAUCUGUAGCUGGUCUGAGAGGACGACCAGCCACACUGGGACUGAGACACGGCCCAGACCCCUACGGGAGGCAGCAGUGGGGAAUUUUGGACAAUGGGCGCAAGCCUGAUCCAGCAAUGCCGCGUGCAGGAUGAAGGCCUUCGGGUUGUAAACUGCUUUUGUACGGAGCGAAAAGGCUCUCUCUAAUACAGGGGGCUCAUGACGGUACCGUAAGAAUAAGCACCGGCUAACUACGUGCCAGCCGCCGCGGUAACAC
rnacentral:rRNA from 1 species